rnacentral:rRNA from 1 species
GACGAACGCGGCGGCGUGCUUAACACAUGCAAGUCGAACGAAGAGCGAUGGAAGCUUGCUUCUAUCAAUCUUAGUGGCGAACGGGUGAGUAACGCGUAAUCAACCUGCCCUUCAGAGGGGGACAACAGUUGGAAACGACUGCUAAUACCGCAUACGAUUCAACCUUGGCAUCGAGGAUGAAUGAAAGGUGGCCUCUAUAUAUAAGCUAUCACUGAAGGAGGGGAUUGCGUCUGAUUAGCUAGUUGGAGGGGUAACGGCCCACCAAGGCGAUGAUCAGUAGCCGGUCUGAGGGGAUGAACGGCCACAUUGGGACUGAGACACGGCCCAGACUCCUACGGGAGGCAGCAGUGGGGAAUCUUCCGCAAUGGACGAAAGUCUGACGGAGCAACGCCGCGUGAGUGAUGACGGCCUUCGGGUUGUAAAGCUCUGUUAAUCGGGACGAAAGGCCUUCUUGCGAAUAGUGAGAAAGGA